AGUGAACGCUGGCGGUAGGCCUAACACAUGCAAGUCGAACGGCAGCACAGUAAGAGCUUGCUCUUACGGGUGGCGAGUGGCGGACGGGUGAGGAAUACAUCGGAAUCUACUUUUUCGUGGGGGAUAACGUAGGGAAACUUACGCUAAUACCGCAUACGACAUACGGGUGAAAGCAGGGGAUCUUCGGACCUUGCGCGAUUGAAUGAGCCGAUGUCGGAUCAGCUAGUUGGCGGGGUAAAGGCCCACCAAGGCGACGAUCCGUAGCUGGUCUGAGAGGAUGAUCAGCCACACUGGAACUGAGACACGGUCCAGACUCCUACGGGAGGCAGCAGUGGGGAAUAUUGGACAAUGGGCGCAAGCCUGAUCCAGCCAUACCGCGUGGGUGAAGAAGGCCUUCGGGUUGUAAAGCCCUUUUGUUGGGAAAGAAAAGCAGCAGGUUAAUACCCCGCUGUUCUGACGGUACCCAAAGAAUAAGCACCGGCUAACUUCGUG
rnacentral:rRNA from 1 species